ensembl:lncRNA
AUAUAACUCUCAGCACAUUUUAUUUUGAAGGUGUGGCAUUGAGCGUUUUUUUGAGGGGGAGUUUUGGUAGAGAAGACCGUGUGAGAACAAAGACAGGAGCUCAGGAAGUUGAGCAUUUAGUCACCAGAGCGAUGGCUGGAGGGUGGAGGCUGAGCGCUGCGCUGCUGCUGAGUGUGUUCGUGCAGGCUUUGAGCGGGCAGCCAGUGAAGUGCACCGUCUCCCAUGAUGGUGGCACGACCACGUACGCCCUCCAGACCGAGUUUUCUGACAAGGAUGUGCAGAAGCCCGAGUUCUCGUGGUUUAACAUCUCCAAAUACGUCCUCGCCAACCACCUCGAUCAAAUUGCUGUGGUGAUAAGUCGCAGCUUCAACGCUCUCACUAUCAGAGCUUGCAUCGAAAACCUUUUCUGUGAAGGACACGUCAACUCCAAGGGGAAACCUCUCGACUACACGGCCAACUGCACCACCGUCUGCCCUCCCGUAGCUUUGCCCGGAGACCAAGGGAACUCUCAUCACUGGAUCAUCCCUGUCAUUGUCAUUGUCAUAGUGAUAGUGAUAGCGCUUGCAUGCAUCAUCCUGUGCUGCAGAAAUGAAAAUCUCAGGAGAUGCCGCUGUGGGCAAACCAGAGGACUUUACAUCGUCGGGAAGAAAGAAGCAGCAAAGCCAGAAAUUGUGUAGAAAGAACAGAUCUGAAACGAUGAUCUUUCCCCUUUUUUCACUUUGAAGUAGAGUGUGCAUGAAAAGGUUAAUCUCCACCUGUGAGUGGAUGCUUUCUGUAGUUUCCCACUGCAUCUACACAGUAAGUGUAGAUGCAGUGGGAGUGUGGACACUUCCUCUGGACUCAUCUUCAGUUUCUCUUUGUUCGUACUUUGGCACAGUUAAUGACAGCACAGUGGUGGUAAUGAGUGACAGAAUGACACUUAUGUGACUGGAUGCUGGAGACUUGAGGUGCUAAACUCUAAGUCAUGUGUGACCUUUUAUUUUAAGCAUUACUUAAUGAUGAUAAUAAUAAUAAUAAUAAUAAUAAUAAUAAUAAUAAUAAUUCGUCUCUGAAGCAGUGGGCAGCCACUGGGCGCCCGGGGAGCAGCGUGUAGGGACGGUACCUUGCUCAGGGGUACCUCAGGGUAGCUGUUUAGUGGAUUCGAACCCUCCUGUUUUGCAUUAUACUUGCCAAAGCUGAACCCCAGCUCACUGAUUAGUGUCACUGUAACUGUAUCUGGCUACGGCCUCGAUCCCGUUGUUGAUUUUAUUCCACUUGCCGGUUAGCUGUGAGGGAUUGGUGCACAGGUGAAAAGUUCUCUGGGCUGUGGAAGCUCUCAGACUCUUUGCUGCACCAGUGAGUGCACUUUGAGGACCCAGUAGCAUGAAUAAAUUAACAAUGACCCCCCUACUUCCAGCCAGGACCCCCAUGUUAGUGUUAAUGAUGUAAACCAGCUGUGGAAGCUCGGAGACUCGUAAUGCAGCACCAGGGCGUGCACUUUCAGUGUCCUAUAGCAUUACAGCACAUAGUAUAUAUGCAUACAACACUAUAAAGAAUAUUAUAAAUAACUUAUUAUCCAAAUGUUGCUAAUAUUUUUAUAAUAUGUUUAUUAUUAUUUCUAUUAUAUAAGAUAUAUAUGUUUAUAAUAAUUAUAAAUACACUACCUGGGGUUGAGAUGCAAUAAUAAAGUACAGUGUACUUGUAUUGUAGUACUGGAUUGCUUGUGAUUAUGACCAGUUAUUAUGAAUGUUUUAGUCCUAAAUAAUGCAUCAUGAAUCCUGCCUUAUCAAACGUGUGUGUGUGUGUGUGUGUGAUCAGGCUCACCAAAUCAUUUUUCUGUAUCACGUUUCUUGUAUUUGUUUUUGCUGUUGUCACAGUUUCAUGUUAAUUUUACAGCUAAUGCACCUGCAAAGAAUAAAAUCACUUUGUCUAAAAGCACAA